rnacentral:rRNA from 1 species
GACGAACGCUGGCGGCGUGCUUAACACAUGCAAGUCGAACGGAAAGGCCUCUUUCGGGGGGUACUCGAGUGGCGAACGGGUGAGUAACACGUGAGUAACCUGCCCUUGACUUUGGGAUAACUUCAGGAAACUGGGGCUAAUACCGGAUAGGAGCUCCUGCUGCAUGGUGGGGGUUGGAAAGUUUCGGCGGUUGGGGAUGGACUCGCGGCUUAUCAGCUUGUUGGUGGGGUAGUGGCUUACCAAGGCUUUGACGGGUAGCCGGCCUGAGAGGGUGACCGGCCACAUUGGGACUGAGAUACGGCCCAGACUCCUACGGGAGGCAGCAGUGGGGAAUAUUGCACAAUGGGUGGAAGCCUGAUGCAGCAGCGCCGUGUGCGGGAGGACGGCCUUCGGGUUGUAAACCGCUUUCGCUCAUGACGAAGCUUUGUGUGACGGUAGUGGGUAAAGAAGCACCGGCUAACUACGUG